rnacentral:rRNA from 1 species
UACAGAGGUCCCGAGCGUUGUUCGGAUUCACUGGGCGUAAAGGGUGCGUAGGCGGUGUGUCGCGUCGGCCGUGAAAACCUGCAGCUUAACUGUGAGCUUGCGGUCGAUACGGGCAGGCUAGAGUUCGGUAGGGGAGACUGGAAUUCCUGGUGUAGCGGUGAAAUGCGCAGAUAUCAGGAGGAACACCGGUGGCGAAGGCGGGUCUCUGGGCCGAUACUGACGCUGAGGAGCGAAAGCGUGGGGAGCGAACAGG